rnacentral:rRNA from 2 species
UACGUAGGGUCCAAGCGUUAUCCGGAAUCACUGGGCGUAAAGCGUGCGUAGGUGGCGCGUUAAGUGUGAUGUUAAAUCGCGGGGCUCAACCCUGUCGAUGCAUCGCAUACUGGCGUGCUAGAGGGAAGCAGAGGCAAGUGGAAUUGGUAGUGUAGCAGUGAAAUGCGUAGAUAUUACCAGGAACACCAAUGGCGAAGGCAGCUUGCUGGGCUUCUUCUGACACUGAGGUACGAAAGCGUGGGGAGCGAACAGG